rnacentral:rRNA from 1 species
UACUCCUACGGGAGGCAGCAGUGGGGAAUAUUGGACAAUGGGCGAAAGCCUGAUCCAGCCAUGCCGCGUGUGUGAAGAAGGUCUUCGGAUUGUAAAGCACUUUAAGUUGGGAGGAAGGGCAGUAAGUUAAUACCUUGCUGUUUUGACGUUACCGACAGAAUAAGCACCGGCUGACUUCGUGCCAGCAGCCGCGGUAAUACGAAGGGUGCAAGCGUUAAUCGGAAUGACUGGGCGUAAAGGGCGCGUAGGCGGUUGUUACAGUCAGAAGUGAAAUUCCUGGGCUCAACCUGGGGACUGCUUUUGAUACGUAGCGACUAGAGUAAGGAAGAGGGUUGUGGAAUUUCCAGUGUAGAGGUGAAAUUCGUAGAUAUUGGAAAGAACACCGGUGGCGAAGGCGGCAACCUGGUCCUUUAC